rnacentral:lncRNA from 1 species
GGUGUUGACUCAAGACCGAAAUACAGCCUGCAUCUUACCGUGGAGGGCGGACCUACCCCUCCUCGUACCUAUUAAACAUCUGUUUUACUCCCCUUGAGGUUUUAAGUUCACAGGAUGGCCCGCAGGAGCAACAUCACUCAAACACGCUUAUGAGGAAACAUCAUGACACCCUGUGACGCACUGCUGAACUUUUGGGGACUGGAGAGCAUGAAUCAGAAGCGCUACUGGUCCUUGAAAAAGAUACGCCUCGAGAAAGAACAUCAAGUACUGGCCCAACAGAACCGUGAAGGGGACUGCCACUGAUUGCCUUUAUUGUUUUGACAUCCUAUAUUGCGGCGGGUGUUGUGUAUGCGUCGCGAUGCGCAUUGUGUCUUGGGCCACCAGGUUGCAGGGGCUCACCCCCUACCUGCUCAGUCAUUGGUUCAUGCUGUGAAGGGGUGGAGUGUGGUGGAAUUGCAGGGUCACAGCCUGAACCAAUGGGUGGGCUCUGUGAGUGUGUGAGUGCGGCGGCGCGGCGGUACGAACGGGGGAGGGACACAUUCCUCAGCUCGGCUCGGGCUGCGCGCUGCUACCGGGAGGGGAGCUCUGGAGGUUGGAUACAGCAAAUGCAAGAAUCCUGAUCACCACCUAAUGCGUGCUGCAGGUGUGAAGCUGAAAGUCCAUUGCCUCCUUUCCAAGACAGGUGCAGUGGCUGAAGAAACCAGGGUCCUCAGCUGCUCCUCGUACAUCUUGCCCUCUCGACCCUUCUCCGUCUUCAUAGUGCUGCCCUGGAUGUGUGUCCUCCUCAUAUUGUGAUGCCCACAUCACAUCAAUGCUGGCUACAGAAGACAGAG